rnacentral:rRNA from 1 species
UAGGGAAUCUUCGGCAAUGGACGAAAGUCUGACCGAGCAACGCCGCGUGAGUGAAGAAGGUUUUCGGAUCGUAAAACUCUGUUGUUAGAGAAGAACAAGGACGUUAGUAACUGAACGUCCCCUGACGGUAUCUAACCAGAAAGCCACGGCUAACUACGUGCCAGCAGCCGCGGUAAUACGUAGGUGGCAAGCGUUGUCCGGAUUUAUUGGGCGUAAAGCGAGCGCAGGCGGUUUCUUAAGUCUGAUGUGAAAGCCCCCGGCUCAACCGGGGAGGGUCAUUGGAAACUGGGAGACUUGACUGCAGAAGAGGAGAGUGGAAUUCCAUGUGUAGCGGUGAAAUGCGUGGAUAUAUGGAGGAACACCAGUGGCGAAGGCGGCUCUCUGGUCUGUAACUGACGCUGAGGCUCGAAAGCGUGGGGAGCAAACAGG